GAUCCCGCCGGAGGCCAUUGCUAUCGGAGUCCGAUUUAGCCAUGCUAGUUGUGCGGGUUUAGACCCGCAGCGGAAAGCUCAGUAACACGUGGCCAAGCUACCCUGUGGACGGGAAUACUCUCGGGAAACUGAGGCUAAUCCCCGAUAAAGCUUUGCUCCUGGAAGGGGCAAAGCCGGAAACGCUCCGGCGCCACAGGAUGCGGCUGCGGUCGAUUAGGUAGACGGUGGGGUAACGGCCCACCGUGCCCAUAAUCGGUACGGGUUGUGAGAGCAAGAGCCCGGAGACGGAAUCUGAGACAAGAUUCCGGGCCCUACGGGGCGCAGCAGGCGCGAAACCUUUACACUGUACGAAAGUGCGAUAAGGGGACUCCGAGUGUGAAGGCAUAGAGCCUUCACUUUUGUACACCGUAAGGUGGUGCACGAAUAAGGACUGGGCAAGACCGGUGCCAGCCGCCGCGGUAAUACCGGCAGUCCGAGUGAUGGCCGAUCUUAUUGGGCCUAAAGCGUCCGUAGCUGGCUGAACAAGUCCGUUGGGAAAUCUGUCCGCUUAACGGGCAGGCGUCCAGCGGAAACUGCUCAGCUUGGGACCGGAAGACCUGAGGGGUACGUCUGGGGUAGGAGUGAAAUCCUGUAAUCCUGGACGGACCGCCGGUGGCGAAAGCGCCUCAGGAGAACGGAUCCGACAGUGAGGGGACGAAAGCUAGGGUCUCGAACCGGAUUAAAUACCCC
rnacentral:rRNA from 1 species